CCCUCCCCACCUCUCAUUAGCUAUCUCUCUCUCUCUUCUCUCUCAACCCCACAACCCACAAAAUCCAUAACCCACCAUCACCAUCUUGUUCUUCCUUUUUCUUUUCUUCUUCUUUCUUGUUCCUCACCACCAUCAUGUCACUGCCAGCAUCACUAUUUCCUCUCCGUCCGACGAAUCUCUAGCGACCACCAUUUUUUCCGGCGAAUCUCCAUUCUUUUUCUCUCUUUCUCCAUUUUUUUUAAGGAUAUGAGUCGACGUAUUUCCGCUCGGGCCUCCAAAAAGGCCGGAGGUUCCACCUCUUAGGCGCCACCAUCGCCACCGUCACCAUCCUCGCCACCACCACCGGGUGACUUGCCAUGGCCGGAGUGGGCUUCCUGCCCGCUUCACAAGCUCACGCAGUUCAACAUUCCAUAUUUUUAGCGUGACACGGACACUACUUGGGCCAUUGAGCUGCUCCAACUCCGGCAAUAGUUGGGCGUUUGCACUGUGACAGCGCCCACUUAUCCUCGUCUGGUACGACUCUUCUACCAGAACCUAUAUGAGUCACUCACCGAGGAUGGACUGCUAUCUACCAUUGAUGGUCAUAUUGUCCACAUCACCUCAUCCGUGAUUGCCACCGUGUUAGGGUUUUUUGCCAAGCCAGAAUAUCAGCCCUUCCCGGAAGUUGAGGAUCGAAAAACCCAUACAUAGCCUCAUCCAACAAUACUUCCCAAGGGCCCACGGUGACAACAGUUUCACAUGCUUGCAGCGGAACAAGCUGCCUAGCUGCUUGCUAUUCAUUGAUUCCGUGGUCCAUAAGAAUGUCCUUCCACUUGGGCAUAGAGCUCAGCACCGUUUGAAGUUUGUUCGGGUUUUACACGGUUAUCAGCAUGGCUAUCAGGUCCCACUUGAGCAUAUCAUCUGGAUACAUUUGCGAAAAUUUCUACGAGAGGUAGUUCGGUCUGAACCUAUGCAGAACCCGACUUGGCCACUGCCAUUUGCCAAUUUGUUGACACUUGUGUUUGAGCUGAACGGCCUCCCCAUUACUUAGAAUGAGGAGAUUGAUAAAGCAUAUUCGACUUUCGGCCAGCGGGAAUGGCAGCAUAGCAUAUCUCGCAUCCCGCAGCAGGUUGGUGCCCCAGUUGAUGAGGCCCAAGACCCCGUACACGACCACUCACCUCAUCCUGUUCCCCCCGUGCCUUCCCAAGGGGACCCACUCUACAUGACUCGCGAGGAGUACUUACAGCUUCAGCACUCUGUGGAUCAGGUCCACAGUACUCUUCGUGAUCACCACCAGAGUCUCAUGGAGUUGCGCACAGAUUUUCAGGCGCAUCGAGACUAUUCUCAGGUGACCUUCACCCAGCUACAUGCUCGCCAGCUCGACAUCCAGCAACGAGUUCAAGAUGAAGCCUUUGAGACGCGAUCUUUGAUGCAAGCCUUGUUUGCCCAGCAUUUCCCGCCACCACCACCAUCGGCUUCUCCAUAGUACCCAUUGUAUAUUGCUUUCUCUCUUUUAUUUUUAUUUCUUUUCAGUUAUUUCCUCUUCUCAAAAAUAAAUAAAAAAUAAAAAAAAAA